rnacentral:rRNA from 1 species
AGGGUUCGAUUCUGGCUCAGAACGAACGCUGGCGGCAUGGAUUAGGCAUGCAAGUCGAACGGUGCAGCAAUGCAUAGUGGCGCAAGGGUGAGGAACGCGUGAGUAACCUGCCCUCAAGUUGGGAACAGCUCCUGGAAACGGAAAUUAAUACCGAAUGUGACCAUAGGAAGGCAUCUUCUGUUGGUUAAAGGCCGCAAGGUCGCUUGAGGAGGGGCUCGCGUCCCAUUAUGCUAGUUGGUGAGGUAAAAGGCUCACCAAGGCGAAGAUGGGUAGCUGGUCUGAGAGGACGAUCAGCCACACUGGGACUGAGAACUGCCCAGACUCCUACGGGAGGCUGCAGUCGAGAAUUUUGGGCAAUGGACGAAAGUCUGACCCAGCCAAUGCCGCGUGCGGGAUGAAGGUCUUCGGAUUGUAAACCGCUGUCAAGUGGGACGAAACAAAUGACGGUACCGCUGAAGGAAGUCACGGCUAACUACGUGCCAGCAGCGGC